rnacentral:rRNA from 1 species
AUUGAACGCUGGCGGCAGGCUUAACACAUGCAAGUCGAGCGGAGACUUCGGUCUUAGCGGCGAACGGGUGAGGAAUGCCUGGGAAUCUGCCUGGUAGUGGGGGAUAACGUUCCGAAAGGAACGCUAAUACCGCAUACGUCCUACGGGAGAAAGCAGGGGACCUUCGGGCCUUGCGCUAUCAGAUGAGCCCAGGUUCGGAUUAGGCUAGUAGGUGAGGUAAAGGCUCACCUAGGCGACGAUCCGUAGCUGGUCUGAGAGGAUGAUCAGCCACACUGGAACUGAGACACGGUCCAGACUCCUACGGGAGGCAG